CCUACGGGUGGCUGCAGUGGGGAAUAUUGGACAAUGGGCGAAAGCCUGAUCCAGCCAUGCCGCGUGUGUGAAGAAGGCCUUCGGGUUGUAAAGCACUUUCAGUGGGGAAGAAAGCCUUGGGGCUAAUACCCUCGAGGAAGGACAUCACCCACAGAAGAAGCACCGGCUAACUCCGUGCCAGCAGCCGCGGUAAUACGGAGGGAGCGAGCGUUAAUCGGAAUUACUGGGCGUAAAGCGCGCGUAGGCGGUCUGAUAAGCCGGUUGUGAAAGCCCCGGGCUCAACCUGGGAACGGCAUCCGGAACUGUCAGGCUAGAGUGCAGGAGAGGAAGGUAGAAUUCCCGGUGUAGCGGUGAAAUGCGUAGAGAUCGGGAGGAAUACCAGUGGCGAAGGCGGCCUUCUGGACUGACACUGACGCUGAGGUGCGAAAGCGUGGGUAGCAAACAGGAUUAGAUACCCUAGUCGUC
rnacentral:rRNA from 1 species